CGGGACAGGAAGGUGAGACCCGGGACCUGGUCAGAUUUGCCGGAAGGCUAGGCCGGCGGCCAGUGCCGGGCGCAGCGCUGUCGGCGCCGCAGGGCUGUAAGGCCUGGGCCUAGCUCUGCCUGAGCAGCUUUGGUCGCCUAGGACCGGCGCUGCAGCCGCGGCAGGGGGCGGGGCCGGCUGCUGGGAGGCCCAGGUGGCUGGGGAGUCUCCCGGCCGGGCCGGGUGCCCCGAUUGGGGCUCCGGCAGCGGCGAUAGGGGCCGGGCCGCCGCGUGACCAGCUGCAGUCACGCUGUACUUAAUCACAGUUAGCUUGCGCUCCAGGCUGGCGGCGCUCACCUUUCUCCGAGCCGGGUGACCCAGGGGAUUUCUUUUAUAGUGGCUUUCUCUGAAAUGCCAAAGCCACCCGAUUAUUCAGAACUGAGUGACUCUUUAACGCUUGCCGUGGGAACAGGAAGAUUUUCGGGACCAUUGCACAGAGCAUGGAGAAUGAUGAACUUCCGUCAGCGGAUGGGAUGGAUUGGAGUGGGAUUGUAUCUUUUAGCAAGUGCAGCGGCAUUUUACUAUGUUUUUGAAAUCAAUGAGACUUACAACAGGCUGGCCUUGGAACACAUUCAACAGCACCCUGAGGAGCCCCUUGAAGGAACCACAUGGACACACUCCUUGAAAGCUCGGUUACUCUCUCUGCCUUUCUGGUUGUGGACGAUUAUUUUUCUGAUACCUUACUUACAGAUGUUUUUGUUCCUUUAUUCUUGUACAAGAGCUGAUCCCAAAACGGUGGGCUACUGUAUCAUCCCUAUAUGCUUGGCAGUUAUUUGCAAUCGCCACCAGGCAUUUGUCAAGGCUUCUAAUCAGAUCAGCAGACUACAACUAAUUGACACAUAAGAUCAGUCACCGUUUUUUCCCUAGGAUUACAAAACUGCCAGUACUAUAUGGAAUCUGAUCACAAGACUGCAGUUUCUUCACAGAUCUCAGGAAGUUGUGGUGGGGCAAAGGCUUUUUAAAAAAUGUGACUAGGGGGCUAUCUUUAUCUGAAUAAUAAUGAGUUUUUAGGUAAAGCCUGACAUAUAGUACUACAGAAUCAUGUUGAUGACUUCAGAUUUUGGAAGUAAAAUCGUGUCUGUUAUUUGCAUUCUUUAGUAACUUGACUAAGUACCUGAACUCAUAUUUCUAUUCUACUGUGCAACAUAGUGAUGAAUCAGAAUUUUUUCCACUGGGGGAAAAAAAUGAAUAUGAACAUUUCCAUUGUGUUAAGUGUACAAAGGUCCAAACAUGGUCAUAAAAUUUAAAUUUUAUACAAUUA